GAUGAACGCUAGCGGCAGGCCUAACACAUGCAAGUCGAGGGGUAUAGGAAGCUUGCUUCCUUGAGACCGGCGCACGGGUGCGUAACGCGUAUGCAAUCUACCUUGUACAGGGGAAUAGCCCAGAGAAAUUUGGAUUAAUGCCCCAUGGUAUAUAGUUUUCGCAUGAUUACUAUAUUAAAGAUUUAUCGGUACAAGAUGAGCAUGCGUCCCAUUAGUUAGUUGGUGUGGUAACGGCACACCAAGACGAUGAUGGGUAGGGGUCCUGAGAGGGAGAUCCCCCACACUGGUACUGAGACACGGACCAGACUCCUACGGGAGGCAGCAGUGAGGAAUAUUGGGCAAUGGGCGAGAGCCUGACCCAGCCAUGCCGCGUGCAGGAAGACGGUCCUAUGGAUUGUAAACUGCUUUUAUACGGGAAGAAACACUCCGACGUGUCGGAGCUUGACGGUACCGUAAGAAUAAGGAUCGGCUAACUCCGUGCCAGCAGCCGAC
rnacentral:rRNA from 1 species